rnacentral:lncRNA from 1 species
UUUUUUUUUUUUUUUUUUUUUUGGUCUUUUCUAGGGCUGCAUCUGUGGCAUAGGGAGGUUCCCAGGCUAGGGGUCUAAUUGGAGCUGUAACCGCUGGCCUACUCCAGAGGCACAGCAACGCGGGAACCAAGCCGCAUCUGCAACCUACACCACAGCUCAUGGCAACGCCGGAUCUUUAAUCCACUGAGCGAGGCCAGGGAUCGAACUUGCAACCUCAUGGGUCCUAGUUGGAUUGGUUAACCGCUGAGCCACCACAGGAACUCCUCUCCUGUUACUCUUGAUUUUGCACAUUGGGAUCCUGUUCAAUACACUUCGCUGCAUUUGAAACCCCUCCCAGUCAAUGGGGGCAUGCUUUUUGAAAGGCUGCAUGACAUUCCACACUGGGGAGAGAGGCAUGGCUGUGCUCACACCUACACCCCGCCUGCUGGGCACGGGCCUGGCCGUCUCAGUUCCAGAUCCACUAGAGACCACGGUGCUGUAAGCGCCCCUGAACGCAUACCCAUCCUUCCUUUCUUGAGCUUUGAUUGUAACAGGCUGAAUUUCUACCUCUUUUGCCUCAGGGAAGAAAACCAAGAGAUAUAGAUGGAGGGGGUUUGCCUGGAAUCACACAUCCAAUAAGUGUUCAAAGCAAGUGCACUGGAUGCUGUAUCACAUACUCUUUAUUCCACCAGACACUCUGUCCUUCUUCUAGCCUUACUGCUAGAAAUGUUUCUUUCCAUCAGAUUCAGUAAAGGCUUGCCCUGAAAUCCUUCCUCCCCUGGGACAGAGGUGGUCAAGUGCCUGGCUGUCACAGAACAUCUUGGUGGCUCUGGGUGGAGGGAAUUCAAUGCAGACGAGGCAUUCAGGGCUGCUGCUAGUGCCAGCAUGUAGCAAGCACUUGGGGAAGUCGUGCUAAAAAUACUACAUCUGCUCAAUAAAUGGGUAUUGAAUGCCGACAGUGUUCCAGGCUGGCAGGCGACAGACUUUGUUCAGCCCUGUUCUAAGAUGGCAGGAACAGCCUUGGGCCUCAUUCAUUUCCAUCUUGGAGGCUUACUGGCUGGGCCUGGAGUCCCUGGGGUUGUUAUCAAGGGGAUUCAAGGUCCCCCAGACAGGUCAGACCAGACUGGCCACAAAAUUCUGUGGCCCUGCCUCAUGAGCCACACUGUCCUCAUCUGUGGACUGGGAAGGGGAGAGGGUAAAAACUGGACUUGAGGGACCUUGGACUUCAAACCUGCCAUGUCACCAGUGGGAGUAAGGUACAGAACUGCAAAGGGAUAUUUCCAAAGUGUCCCAGGAGCUGGUGAUGGGGUUGGGGCACAAGUCCCUUCUGGGGGGCUUCUAGCCUUAUUGUUCUUUGUUCUGUGCUGCUGCCAUUUCAACCCUGUGCACAUGUGUGCCCGUUUUCUUUUCCUCUCUACAAACCUGGAUGAAAUACACACUGAUGAAAACUGUGGGCUGUGAGAACAGGCAGGCCUGAGUUUGAGUCUUAGCCUCCUACCCAUACAGUGACCUCAGAAAAUUAUUUAACCUCUGUGGGUUCAUAACAAUGGCCAGUCCCCCAGAGUUCUGAGAAUUCCAUGAAACAAUGACUUGAAAGGGCCUAGCAGGAAGCCAACCACAUAGUAUGCACUCACUAAAUGCUGAUCAUGUCUUUUAGUUCCCAUUUGCAUCUUUGAAUUCUUGCAGAACCUCUCUGCAAUUCCCAGAGUCUCCAGUACAACUUGUUUUCCCCAAACAAUAGCUCUCUUGACGUCUGAGGAGAAUGGGGGCCUCUGUGAAGCUCUUCCAAACCCUCUAUUGCGGGCUUUCAUCCACUGAACCCCUGAGGAAUUGUCGGCCUGCACUUAACUUCUCCAGAAGCAAGACUCUGCUGAUCCCUUUCUGCUGAACAGCAAUGAACUUGUCAAGAGACCAGCCAGGAGGGAGGUGGUGAAGGGGCAGGAGCAGGGCAGGCAGGUGUACAAGCCAGCGAGGAGGGCUGGGGCCAUCCAUCUUGAUUCUUUUCUCCGUGUCCAAGUGUAAAGGGAUUUGUGUCUACAAGGCUGUCUUCGCCAACCUCAGGGAAGAAGAGAAGUUGUUUAAUUGGAAAGUUUUACUUCUACCACAGAGGAAGAUUCUGGGACAAUUAGGGAUAUUGUAAUUUCUUAUUAAGGUCAAAAAGAAAUGAUAGGUAGAGCCCAUGAGUCACUUUCCAACAUGGUGAGAAAUGGAGUUGCUGGGUGACUGGGUGCGAGUGAGCCUGCGUGCCCCCAGUCUUAACGAUGUGGAGGGGGGGCUGUGGGAAGGGCGCUGGCUGCCUCCUUCCUGCCUCUGGAAUGCUCACCUUUUUGGAAACCCAAUAAAAUUAAUUCCAAGCUCAGAUUAUUAAUUCGUCCUGGUGUGUGAAUAAUUCAUUGUGGCAGAAGCCCUGUCACAUCUUCACGUUUUGGAGCGCAUAGCCUCUCCCGCUCUUGCCUUCGGAGAGAUGGCUUUCCCUUCUAACCUGCCCAAGUGUGAGAGGGACCAAGCACUCAGCCAUCAAUUCCCCAAGGAGGUCUGAGCCCUGAUUUGAGCCUGAUGCCUAUUUCGAAUCCAGCAGCCAGAGUGUAGGUGGCUGCAGUGAACUGAGGCGACCUGCUGAAGUCAGGAUGCUUCUUAAGGACCAGGGGGACUUGCUCGCCAGGCUCAUGGCUGCACAAGGAUGUAAAAGGAAUUCCUGUCGUGACCAAACGCCACUGCCCAUUACAGUGAGGUCCUCUGAGAGGACCUCCAUUGGCCUGCCCAUCAAUUAUGCAUUUCCCCAGCACACCUUCCAGGCCAGCUUCUCGUGUCAGGAUUGUUCCCUGACUGCUCCCCUCUGAGCAAGUGUCUCCACUCUGCUCCUGGGGAAGAGAUAAGAGAUGAGGCACUACCAGCUGAUAGCCUCCAGGGAGCCCAGUGCCAAAGCCUAAGUGGAACAAGGGAAGGGAUGAGUGGGUCCAGAAGCUUCUCUCUUGAACAGGAAUAAGGAGCAUGGGCCAUCCUCUGUUAAACCAGUGGCUCUGGGGAUCUUUCUUGCUUUGAACACAUGUUGUCACUGAACUGUGUGCUUACAAAGGACCCUGGGAUGCAGACGGGUGAGCAAGCUGCCCUUCUGAUAGAUGAGGCAUCUGCCACUUGAAGAGGCACAGGCAGUGUGUAGCUUUGCCUGGCAGGUUCUGGUCGGGCUUGAAAUAGUCCCUAAUCUGGUGGGCAAAUAAUUCUCGUAUCUCUUCUUUUACCAAGGAGGAUGCUCACCCCAACCCUGCGUAUUCGUUACCCGCACUCAGGACAGGAGUCCUGGCCACCGCUUGGAUCUGGUUCUUGGGCUAAGGAGCUUCUGCUCUGAGCUGGCAGCAGACACCCAAUAAGGUCUCAGUGACAGGGCCCUGCUAAGGGAUAAGGAAGAUACGUGAGGACCCAGGGAAGAGCAGCCUGCUGACUACAAGUUCCUCAAGGGCAAGGACCACGUCUGAUGAAUGUCCCACUGCAGCCCAUCCCACAGCACAGCUGUAUCGUGAUAAAAGCAGAACGAGAGAAUAAAUGAAGGAAUGCAAGGCAGACCCCAAGGAAAGCCAAUGGAGAGGUAAAACCAAGCAGCCCCUGGAGGCCUGAGGAGAGGGUGCUAUCUCCAUCUGGGGGAUCUAGGAUGACUUCCUGGAGGAGGUGGCAUUGGAACUUUGGGGAUUCUCUGGCUGUGAAUUCAGAGGGUUCUCCUGCCUCAUUUAGACAUUCAAAGACGACUUACUAAUUAACAACUGGAGAAAGAAUUCUGCAUGCAGACUGUUUGUACCUUAGCCGAGUGUCCCCAAACUUGGGAAACACAGUAGCACUUUAUGUAGGUUUCCAGUUGAGCCUGGAAUCAGCGUGAAUUGUUGGGAGGGGUUUGGGGAGUAGGGUAGACAGGCACAGGCUCUGCAGAGCCUGGCACCACACCCCUCUCUCUUCCCUUCAGAGCACAUCUUUCCAGAGACCAUCACAUUUGAUCUUGCCGAUUAUUUGGUCAACCUCUUUUCUCUGGGCAGCGCUGAUGGGGAACAACAUAUGCUUGGCCUUCUGCCUUCCUCUCCUAUACACACCCCUACACACACCCACAUCACACCCAUUUAUCUCCAUGACAACAAGGGGAGAGAGCGUGGCCUGAUGCUUCCAGGCCUCAAUACGCGGACUUAGAGCCUAGAGACUUAGCAGUUCUGGCCCUGCAGCCUCACAAAGAAGGACUAGAGUGAUUGCAGAGGCCAGGCAUGGAGAAGGGAGGGCUUUGGGGUUGCUUGUGCCCUCAGAGAGGAGGGGUCAUUGCCCUGGGAGCCCUACUGCUGGCCGUUUCCUGAUGAAGAGGUUGGUCAUUUUGCCCCCAAACACCCUCAUCCCUUGUCAGGGAUAAGCAGCGUUUGGGGGAAGGAGGGCCGGCUUUGUAUCCAAUCCCAGCUCUACCAUUUCCCUCUUCUUGUGAGUUCUCUGAACCUCUGGAUCUGCAUCUAUAAAAGGACAACUCCUUGAAAGGACUUCUGUGACUUCUAGAAAUUGGCAUUAAAAAAAAAAAUCUAUCAACGCCUCUGUUUUAGAAACUAACCAAAUGAGAUUGGUCAAAAUCAGAGAUAGGGUGUGAGGGGUGGAGAACGUGCAAACCGGCAAAAUAGGGAAACAACUAGUCAGUCUAAUUAAGAAAAAGAGUAGAGACAAAACAAUACCAAAAUUAGGAGUGGGAAAGGGAAUAUGGCCAUUGGUAUUACACAGAGGAUGUUAUAAAACUAAUAUGAGGAUAUAUGAACCAACUCUGUAAAAUAUGUUGAAGACAAGAUCAAAUGCAUAUUUUUCUAUGAAAACAUAUACUUAACUUUAAAAAUGGCAGUUUCAGACUUCCCUUGUGGCUCACAACAUAACUGCAUAGCGUUGCUUCUACAGUGGCUGUGGCUUAACUCUUGGCUCGGGUAUUUCAUAUGCCACAGGUGUGGCCACUUGUUUAAAAAAUAAAAUAAAAAAAUUUUAAAUGACAAGUUCAUCAGAGCAAAACCCUGGGAGAAAGUGGAAGAAAAAGUCAAUGAAUUACAUCUCCAACUAAUUUGCAUCCGUGUAGGAAAACAGGCUAAAAUAGUUUCACAGACUGCUUCUUUUUUUUUCUCUUCAAAAUUUCAAGGAGUUAAUCAUUACCAAGCUAUACAAAGUAUUCCAGAAUGUUUUUUUAAUAAAUCAAUACCUAAUUCAUUUUACAAGUUAGAAUAUUGCUAAUAAUCAUGUUUGACAACGAUAAUAUCCAAAAAAUAAAUCUACAAGAUAUCACCAGUGGAUUUACAUGUAAAGAUUCUAAAUAAAGUAUGCAUAUAUAUCAAAUUUCUGAAGUGUAUUAAAAGGAUAAUAUACUAUGAUUAAGUAGGGUAUAAUCUGGGUAUGGUAGGUUUAAAAAUCAAUCAACAUAAUUUAUCAAGUUAAAAAUAGUAAAGUAUUGAGUUCCCAUUGUGUCUCAGUGGGUUAAGAACCUGACAUAGUCUCUGAAGAUGUGGGUUCAAUUCCUGGCUUUGCUCAGUGGGUAAAGGAUCCGGCAUGCCGCAAGCUGCAGCAUAAGAUUGCAGAUGAGGCUUGGAUGUGAUGUUGCUGUGGCUGUGGUAUAGGCCAGCAGCCGCAGCUCCGAUUCAAUGCCUAGCCUAGGAACUUCCAUAUGCUGUAGGUGUGCCAUGAAAAGAAUAAUAAAAUAAAAAAUAAAACAAA